CUGCGUCGUUGGCGUCAGUGCAGGGCUCCAGCAUGCGCAUGAGUUCAGAACAUGGUGUGCAAGGCUGGCACUUCUCCGUGUGGCUGAAGUUCUCAGAGAACGUCUCACCUGAAGACAAAAGAAGAAAAGAGACUAUGAGAACGUCAAAUGGUGAACAAACACACCUGGUUCUUUCACAUUACACAGCAGCACUUAUGUGUUAGGAAUUAAUUUGAGCCAGUUAUCCUGGGUCAUGCAAGCAGACGUGUGGGAGAUCAUUUUGGAAGUGGUGGGAUUCUGGCAGGCUCUGGACCAGUACUUGGCUCAGGACCAGCCUACACUCAAAAGCCCUCUGCCUCCCCUCAAGUGAGAGUUCAGCACAGGAAAUGGCAUUUUAAAUAAGGCAGCUGCUUCAUUUUAGCAACAGUACGGCCAACAUCUCUGUGGAUACUCACUGUCAAGACAUGGUUCACAC